CAGUCGCCACGGGAAUACAGAGGGUGCGAGCGUUAAUCGGAUUUACUGGGCGUAAAGCGUGCGUAGGCGGCUUUUUAAGUCGGAUGUGAAAUCCCUGAGCUUAACUUAGGAAUUGCAUUCGAUACUGCGAAGCUAGAGUAUGGGAGAGGAUGGUAGAAUUCCAGGUGUAGCGGUGAAAUGCGUAGAGAUCUGGAGGAAUACCGAUGGCGAAGGCAGCCAUCUGGCCUAAUACUGACGCUGAGGUACGAAAGCAUGGGGAGCAAACAGGAUUAGAUACCCCUGUAGUCCCUGUCUCUUAUAU
rnacentral:rRNA from 1 species